CCUACGGGAGGCAGCAGUAGGGAAUAUUGGACAAUAGGUGCGAGCCUGAUCCAGCCAUGCCGCGUGCAGGAAGAAGGCCUUCUGGGUUGUAAACUGCUUUUGCCGGGGGAUAAAAGACCCAUGCGUGGGGAAUUGAAGGUACCCGGUGAAUAAGCCACGGCUAACUACGUGCCAGCAGCCGCGGUAAUACGUAGGUGGCGAGCGUUGUCCGGAUUUAUUGGGUUUAAAGGGUGCGUAGGCGGCCCCGUAAGUCAGUGGUGAAAUACGGCAGCUCAACUGUCGAGGUGCCAUUGAUACUGCGGGGCUUGAGUACAGUCGAGGUAGGCGGAAUUGACGGUGUAGCGGUGAAAUGCUUAGAUAUCGUCAAGAACACCGAUAGCGAAGGCAGCUUGCUAGGCUGUAACUGACGCUGAGGCACGAAAGUGCGGGGGAUCAAACAGGAUUAGAUACCCUGGUAGUCCGCACAGUAAACGAUGGUCACUCGGUGUUGGCGGUACACGGCCAGCGCCUUAGCGAAAGCGUUAAGUGACCCACCUGGGGAGUACGCCCGCAAGGGUGAAACUCAAAGGAAUUGACGG
rnacentral:rRNA from 1 species